rnacentral:rRNA from 1 species
CCUACGGGAGGCUGCAGUGAGGAAUAUUGGUCAAUGGAGGCAACUCUGAACCAGCCAAGUCGCGUGAAGGAUGACGGCCCUACGGGUUGUAAACUUCUUUUUUAAGGGAAUAAAGUGAGCCACGUGUGGCUUUUUGCAUGUACCUUACGAAUAAGGAUCGGCUAACUCCGUGCCAGCAGCCGCGGUAAUACGGAGGAUCCGAGCGUUAUCCGGAUUUAUUGGGUUUAAAGGGUGCGCAGGCGGAAUAUUAAGUCGGCGGUGAAAGUUUGCAGCUUAACUGUAAAAUUGCCGUUGAUACUGGUAUUCUUGAGUGUAUAUGAAGUAGGCGGAAUUUGUAGUGUAGCGGUGAAAUGCAUAGAUAUUACAAGGAACUCCGAUUGCGAAGGCAGCUUACUAAAUUACAACUGACGCUUAGGCACGAAGGCGUGGGUAUCAAACAGGAUUAGAUACCCCUGUAGUC